UACGGAAGGCAGCAGUGGGGAAUAUUGCACAAUGGGCGAAAGCCUGAUGCAGCUAUGCCGCGUGUAUGAAGAAGGCCUUAGGGUUGUAAAGUACUUUCAUCGGGGAGGAAAAACAAAACUAAUAAUUUUAUUUCUUGACGUUACCCGAAAAAGAAGCACCGGCUAACUCCGUGCCAGCAGCCGCGGUAAUACGGAGGGUGCUAGCGUUAAUCAGAAUUACUGGGCGUAAAGAGCACGUAGGUGGUUUUUUUAAGUCAGAUGUGAAAUCCCUGGGCUUAACCUGGAACUGCAUUUUGAAACUGAAAUACUAGAGUAUCGUAGAGGGAGGUAGAAUUCUAGGUGUAGCGGUGAAAUGCGUAGAUAUCUGGAGGAAUACCUGUGGCGAAAGCGGCCUCCUAAACGAAUACUGACACUGAGGUGCGAAAGCGUGGGGAGCAAACAGGGGAUUUAGGACUACC
rnacentral:rRNA from 1 species